rnacentral:rRNA from 1 species
AUUGAACGCUGGCGGCAGGCUUAACACAUGCAAAUCGAGCGGGGACUUCGGUCCUAGCGGCGAACGGGUGAGGAAUGCUUGGGAAUCUGCCUGGUAGUGGGGGAUAACGUUUCGAAAGGAACGCUAAUACCGCAUACGUCCUACGGGAGAAAGGGGGGGAUCUUCGGACCUCUCGCUAUCAGAUGAGCCCAAGUCGGAUUAGCUAGUUGGUGAGGUAAAGGCUCACCAAGGCGACGAUCCGUAGCUGGUCUGAGAGGAUGAUCAGCCACACUGGAACUGAGACACGGUCCAGACUCCUACGGGAGGCAGCAGUGGGGAAUAUUGGACAAUGGGCGAAAGCCUGAUCCAGCCAUGCCGCGUGUGUGAAGAAGGCCUUCGGGUUGUAAAGCACUUUAAGCGAGGAGGAAUGGCUCUGGGUUAAUACCCUUGAGCAGUGACGUUACUCGCAGAAUAAGCACCGGCUAACUCUGUGCCAGCCGCCGCCGUAAAAC